rnacentral:rRNA from 1 species
AUACGUAGGGGGCGAGCGUUGUCCGGAAUGAUUGGGCGUAAAGGGCGCGUAGGCGGCCUGUUAAGUCUGGAGUGAAAGUCCUGUUUUCAAGAUGGGAAUUGCUUUGGAUACUGAUGGGCUUGAGUGCAGGAGGGGUUAUCGGAAUUCCCGGUGUAGCGGUGAAAUGCGUAGAGAUUGGGAGGAACACCAGUGGCGAAGGCGACUUACUGGACUGUAACUGACGCUGAGGCGCGAAAGUGUGGGGAGCAAACAGGAUUAGAUACCCGGAUAGUCCACACUGUAAACGAUGAAUGCUAGGUGUAGGGGGUAUCGACCCCUUCUGUGCCGCAGUCAACACAAUAAGCAUUCCGCCUGGGGAGUACGGCCGCAAGGUUGAAACUCAAAUGAAUUGACGGGG